GGAGUAAUAAUAAUGUGGCUGAAGUUGGAGACAAAGAAGACCCUCCCUUCCUCCUUCGGCAGCUGAUGGAGCAAGAGCAAGACAGCAGCAACUGCAUCAUUUAUUGAGUGCCAGACGCUGGCUUCACGUAGAAAGAUGAAGAUAGACUUUGCAGACUGAACGGGGACUGUGGGCUAGAAUCAACUCAGGGGACAUCAGUUGCAAUGCUGAGACUUGCUCCAGGCCUCUGAUCGAAGUGGACCACGGACUUGGUCAUUAUGGGAUGGUUCUGGAGCUCACCAAUGAUCAUCUUUCCGUCCAUCCCCACCAGAGCUGGGCCAAGUCUUAGGAACAAUCCUUUGCUUCUUGGUUUGUGAAGCUGGCCCAGGGACUUAAUCCAAACAAGGGCACAGCCAGAAGGAAAAGGGCGUGUCUUCCUGAAAAAGACUUGAAUAAAGGGAUCCUAUUCAAGGCCGGAAAAGGCCAGUGUUGAAGCGCGUGGCAGCCUGUCCAGGCAGGUCUGAGUGCGCAGUGACCUCUUACAGGAGGGGGCUGUGCUGCUUGAAAGUUCACCGCUCCUGCCCAGGAAGGAAUCUCUUCAAGCAAAACCUGACACAUUUGGUUGCAGUCUCUGCUUGGAUGCUGCACAAAUUGGUUACCCUUCCUUCGGGUAUUAUGAGAAGGGCCCUCCUGGGUACAUCUGGUUCAUCCCCUGCCUCCAGCAUGGAGAGCUGAAACUCGGUCCAGAAGAAGAGGCUGCAACAGAUGUAUUGAAAAGCGUGCUCAUUCAUUUUCACUUAAGAAAUGAUUGAUGUCUGACUGAGCUGCAGAAAGAAUGGGAGGAUUAGGCAAGACUUUUUGUUGUAAGGCUCAGGAAGUACACUCAAACUGGGUUGAACAAACAAAAUAAGAACGGAUUGGCUCAUGUCACUGGAAAGUCAGUCCAUGGGUACUAAAGUCCCUUGACUCUGAUUUUUAUGAAGACAGCUUCCUUCCCAGUCACCCGCAACUCUACACUCAGUUUCUAGCCAAGUAAACUCAGCAGACAGAGUAUCCAGCCAAAAAUCCCAGGGCUGACUCUUAGUGGUCCAGCUUGGUCAUGUGCCCAUUGGUGAACCAAUCACUGUGACUCUGACUGUUUUGCCCUAAUUCAAGAUUCUGCCCCAAGCCAGGGGAGAGGGUCAAACCCUGUAGGACCACAUGGACCAAAAGUAAGGGACGAAUGGUUUCUCCAGAGCAAGUCAAACACCAUUAUUAGAAGCAGCAGGAAUGGCUGUUGUCAUGGCCACACAACUGGUAAAAAGCAGAUUCCCUUGCUGUUGUUGUUUUUGAGGCAGGGUCUUGCUCUGUCUC
rnacentral:lncRNA from 10 species